rnacentral:rRNA from 1 species
ACGCUGGCGGCGUGCCUAACACAUGCAAGUCGAGCGGGGUCCAUCCGGUAGCAAUACCGGGGAAGACCUAGCGGCGAACGGGUGAGUAACACGUGAGAAACCUGCCCCGAAGUCUGGGAUAACCCGAGGAAACUCGAGCUAAUACCGGAUGUCUUCUUCUGAUCGCAUGGUCGGAUGAAGAAAGAUUUAUCGCUUCGGGAGGGUCUCGCGGCCUAUCAGCUAGUUGGCGGGGUAACGGCCCACCAAGGCGUCGACGGGUAGUUGGUCUGAGAGGACGAUCAGCCACACUGGGACUGAGACACGGCCCAGACUCCUACGGGAGGCAGCAGUGGGGAAUAUUGCGCAAUGGGCGAAAGCCUGACGCAGCAACGCCGCGUGCGGGAUGAAGGCCUUCGGGUUGUAAACCGCUUUCAGUGGGGACGAAUUCAGACGGUACCCACAGAAGAAGCCCCGGCCAACUACGUG